rfam:Brachypodium distachyon strain Bd21 chromosome 1, whole genome shotgun sequence.
UAGGGUAUCCUUUGAUCCUACUUAGUUCAAACAAAUGAAUUAAAAUUUUAAAAUGACACAACUUUUUGAGAAAUUAGUUUAUUUGUUUGAACUAAGAAGAGUCAAAAGAUAGCCUG